ACUAUUUUGGCAGAAAAAAAGUAAUGGUUUUAGAAGUCAUAAAUAUAUAAAUUAAAAUUAUAUAAAUAGUA
rnacentral:tRNA from 1 species